AUUGAACGCUGGCGGCAGGCCUAACACAUGCAAGUCGAACGGUAACAGGAAGAAGCUUGCUUCUUUGCUGACGAGUGGCGGACGGGUGAGUAAUGUCUGGGAAACUGCCUGAUGGAGGGGGAUAACUACUGGAAACGGUAGCUAAUACCGCAUAACGUCGCAAGACCAAAGAGGGGGACCUUCGGGCCUCUUGCCAUCGGAUGUGCCCAGAUGGGAUUAGCUAGUAGGUGGGGUAACGGCUCACCUAGGCGACGAUCCCUAGCUGGUCUGAGAGGAGGACCGGCAAAACUGGACUUGAGAAAGGUUCCAGACCCCAAGGGGGGGCAGAGUUGGGAAUAAUUGCACAAGGGGCGAAAGCCUGAGGCAGCCAGGCGGCGGGAAUGAAGAGGGCCUCCGGGUUGUAAAUUCCUUUAGGCGGGGGGAAAGGAGUAAAGUUAAUACCUUUGCUCAUUGACGUUACCCGCAGAAGAAGCACCGGCUAACUCCGUG
rnacentral:rRNA from 1 species